rnacentral:tRNA from 1 species
GUAUAAUGGUUAGUACAUUGCGUUGUGGCCGCAAUAACCCAGGUUCGAAUCCUGG